CUCCAGGGAGACUGCCGGUGAUAAACCGGAGGAAGGUGGGGACGACGUCAAGUCAUCAUGGCCCUUACGAGUAGGGCUACACACGUGCUACAAUGGCGCAUACAGAGGGCGGCCAACUUGCGAAAGUGAGCGAAUCCCAAAAAGUGCGUCGUAGUCCGGAUUGGAGUCUGCAACUCGACUCCAUGAAGUCGGAAUCGCUAGUAAUCGUGGAUCAGAAUGCCACGGUGAAUACGUUCCCGGGCCUUGUACACACCGCCCGUCACACCAUGGGAGUGGGCUGCAAAAGAAGUAGGUAGUUUAACCUUCGGGGGGACGCUUACCACUUUGUGGUUCAUGACUGGGGUGAAGUCGUAACAAGGUAGCGCUAGGGGAACCUGGCGCUGGAUCACCUCCUUA
rnacentral:rRNA from 1 species